GAGAGUUAAACAGUACGUGAAAUUGUUGAAAGGGAAACGAUUGAAGUCAGUCAUACCAACGGGAAAUCAACCUCUUGAGUUUGGUCUCGUGGGUUUCGAAGAGUUUAAAGGCCUUCGGAUUUUCGAGAUUGGGUUCUUCUGGUGUACUUUCUCGUACGGUUAGUCAACAUCGGUUUUGAAUGUCAUAAAAUGACUGGAGGAAUGUGGCUUCGAUCUCGUAUUGAAGUGUUAUAGCUUUUGGUAGAUGUGAUGUUCGAGGCCGAGGAUUGCAACGGAUACCCUUCUGGGCUAUUCGUCUGAUCUCUGAAACGUUGCCUUGAUGUCGAAAGCUUGCUUAUGAUGUUAGGGUAUUACGAUCAAAAGGUUAGAACGGAUUAAAUUCGUUAAGGAUGUUGACGUAAUGACUUUAAACGA
rnacentral:rRNA from 1 species